rnacentral:tRNA from 1 species
GCCUGGGUGACUCCAUUGGUUAAGCAUCUGACUUCAGCUCAGGUCAUGAUCUCACGGUUCGUGGGUUCAAGUCCCAUAUCAGGCU